UACGAAGGGGGCUAGCGUUGCUCGGAAUUACUGGGCGUAAAGGGUGCGUAGGCGGCCCCGUAAGUCAGUGCUGAAAUAUCCCGGCUUAACCGGGAGGGUGGCAUUGAUACUGCAGGGCUUGAGUAAAGUUGAGGUAGGCGGAAUUGACGGUAUAGCGGUGAAAUGCUUAGAUAUCGUCAAGAACACCGAUAGUGUAGACAGCUUACUAAGCUUUAACUGACGCUGAGGCACGAAAGUGUGGGGAUCAAACAGG
rnacentral:rRNA from 1 species